rnacentral:rRNA from 1 species
GACGAACGCUGGCGGCGUGCUUAACACAUGCAAGUCGAACGGAAAGGUCCUGCUUUUGUGGGGUGCUCGAGUGGCGAACGGGUGAGUAGCACGUGAGUAACCUGCCCUUGACUUUGGGAUAACUUCAGGAAAAUGGGGAUAUUACAGGAUAGGAGCUCCUGCUGCAUGGUGGGGGUUGGAAAGUUUCGGCGGUUGUGGAUGGACUCGCGGCUUAUCAGCUUGUUGGUGGGGUAGUGGCUUACCAAGGCUUUGACGGGUAGCCGGCAUGCGAGGGUGGACAGCCACAAUGGUACUACGAUACGGCCCAGACUCCUACGUUAGGCAGUAGUGGGGAAUAUUGCAGAAUGGGCGGACGCCUGUUGCAGCAACGCCGCGUGCGUGAUAACCGCUUUCGGGUUGUAAACCGCUUUCUCCGUUGACGAAGCGUGAGUGACGGUAAUGGGUAAAGAAGCACCGGCUAACUACGUG